rnacentral:piRNA from 1 species
UGCUGCCUGGUGUCUUGCUGAUCAUC